rnacentral:rRNA from 1 species
CGCAUCUGUGCAUGCAGCAUAUCAAUAAGCGGAGGAAAAGAAACUAACAAGGAUUCCCCUAGUAACGGCGAGUGAAGCGGGAAGAGCUCAAAUUUGAAAUCUUAAAGGGUUUCCCUUUACGAAUUGUAGUUUAAAGAAGUGUUUUCUGUUGAGGUUUUGGUAAAAGUUCUUUGGAAUAGGACAUCAUAGAGGGUGAGAAUCCCGUAUUUGACCUUUACUUUCAACUUUGUGAUACACUUUCAAAGAGUCGGAUUGUUUGGGAAUGCAGUCCAAAAUGGGUGGUAAAAUUUCAUCUAAAGCUAAAUAUUGGCGAGAGACCGAUAGCGAACAAGUACCGUGAGGGAAAGAUGAAAAGAACCUUGAAAAGAGAGUUAAACAGUACGUGAAAUUGUCAAAAGGGAAGCGUUUGACACCAGUGUUGUUUUUCUGAAAAUCAAUUAAAGAACUGUUUAUGCUAAGCUGUUUAGACUUUAUCAGCUAACUGUUUAGUUUUGAGCUUUUCUUUAAUGCACUUUUCAGUUAACAAGUCAACAUCAAUUUCUUUUGCUGUAAAAAAGCUUGAGGAAGGUGGCUUGAGAUUCGUCUUAAGUGUUUAUAGCCUCUUGCCUAUGCAGUCGGAGAGAUUGAGGUCUGCAGCGUAGAUCCUUCGGGGCUAAAUGCAUUUGUGCUAAGUUAUAGCAUUUUAUAGACAACUUGUUGACUAUGAUUUGUCUUGUAGCUUACUCGCUUAUGUUAUUUUACCUACGCUUAGGAUGUUGAGCGCAUGUCUCUCUCU